GACGAACGCUGGCGGCGUGCUUAACACAUGCAAGUCGAACGGAAAGGCCCUGCUUGCAGGGUACUCGAGUGGCGAACGGGUGAGUAACACGUGGGUGAUCUGCCCUGCACUUCGGGAUAAGCCUGGGAAACUGGGUCUAAUACCGGAUAGGAGCCAUUUUUAGUGUGAUGGUUGGAAAGUUUUUUCGGUGUAGGAUGAGCUCGCGGCCUAUCAGCUUGUUGGUGGGGUAAUGGCCUACCAAGGCGGCGACGGGUAGCCGGCCUGAGAGGGUGGACGGCCACAGUGGGACUGAGAGACGGCCCAGACUCCGACGGGAGGCAGCAGUGGGGAAGAGUGCACAAUGGGCGCAAGCCUGAUGCAGCGACGCCGCGUGGGGGAGGACGGCCUUCGGGUUGGAAACUCCUUUCGCUAGGGACGAAGCUUUUUGUGACGGUACCUAGAGAAGAAGCACCGGCUAACUACGUG
rnacentral:rRNA from 1 species